rnacentral:rRNA from 1 species
GACGAACGCUGGCGGCGUGCUUAACACAUGCAAGUCGAACGGAAAGGCCUCUUUCGGGGUUUACUCGAGUGGCGAACGGGUGAGUAACUCGUAAGUAACCUGCCCUUUCCUUUGGAUUGACUUCAGGAAACUGGGCUUAAUUCCGGAUGGGCACUCCUUCUGCAUGGUGGGGGUUGGAAUGUUUCGGGGGUUGUGGGUGGGAUGGCGGCUUACCAGGUUGUGGGUGGGGAAGUGGCUUGCCAAGGCUUUGCCGGGUAGCCGGUCGCAGUGGGUGACGGGCCAUAUUGGGACUGAGGGAAGGCCCCGACUCCGACUGGAGGGAGAAGGGGGGAAGAUUGCACAAUGGGUGGAAGCCGGAUGCAGCAACGCCGUGGGCGGGAUGACGGCCUUAUGGUUGUAAAACGUUUUCGCUCAUGACGAAGCUUUGUGUGACGGUAGUGGGUAAAGAAGCACCGGCUAACUACGUG